rnacentral:rRNA from 1 species
AACGAACGCUGGCGGCGUGGAUAAGACAUGCAAGUCGAGCGCUGGUUACAGGGUAGCAAUAUUCUGUAAUUGGAGCGGCGCAUGGGUGCGUAACACGUGGGCAAUCUGCCGUGAAGUUUGGGACAACUUGCUGAAAGGCGAGCUAAUACCGGAUGUGAAAAUUGGGAGGCAUCUUCUGAUUUUCAAAGUUGGGGACCGUAAGGCCUGACGCUUCAUGAUGAGCCCGCGGCCUAUCAGCUAGUUGGUGAGGUAACGGCUCACCAAGGCUAAGACGGGUAGCUGGUCUGAGAGGACGACCAGCCACACUGGAACUGAGACACGGUCCAGACACCUACGGGUGGCAGCAGUCGAGAAUUUUUCACAAUGGGCGAAAGCCUGAUGGAGCGACGCCGCGUGGGGGAUGAAUGGCUUCGGCCCGUAAACCCCUGUCAUUUGCGAUCAAACGUUAUUAUUUAAAAGAUGAUGACCUGAUAGUAGCGAAA